UGCAGUCGAGGGGUAACAGGGAGUGCUUGCACUUUGCUGACGACCGGCGCACGGGUGCGUAACGCGUAUACAAUCUACCUUUUGCUGAGGGAUAGCCCAGAGAAAUUUGGAUUAAGACCUCAUGGUAUUAUUAAUUGGCAUCGAUUGAUAAUUAAAGGUUACGGCAGAAGAUGAGUAUGCGUCCUAUUAGCUAGAUGGUGUGGUAACGGCACACCAUGGCCACGAUAGGUAGGGGCCCUGAGAGGGGGAUCCCCCACACUGGUACUGAGACACGGACCAGACUCCUACGGGAGGCAGCAGUGAGGAAUAUUGGUCAAUGGAGGCAACUCUGAACCAGCCAUGCCGCGUGCAGGAAGACUGCCCUAUGGGUUGUAAACUGCUUUUAUACGGGAAGAAACGCAGCCACGUGUGGUUGUUUGACGGUACCGUAAGAAUAAGGAUCGGCUAACUCCGUGCCAGCAGCCGCGGUAAUACGGAGGAUCCAAGCGUUAUCCGGAAUCAUUGGGUUUAAAGGGUCCGUAGGUGGAUUAAUAAGUCAGAGGUGAAAUCCUGCAGCUCAACUGUAGAACUGCCUUUGAAACUGUUAAUCUUGAGUCAUUAUGAAGUGGUUAGAAUGUGUAGUGUAGCGGUGAAAUGCAUAGAUAUUACACAGAAUACCGAUUGCGAAGGCAGAUCACUAAUAAUGUACUGACACUGAGGGACGAAAGCGUGGGGAGCGAACAGGAUUAGAUACCCUGGUAGUCCACGCCGUAAACGAUGGUCACUAGCUGUUCGGACUUCGGUCUGAGUGGCUAAGCGAAAGUGAUAAGUGA
rnacentral:rRNA from 1 species